rnacentral:lncRNA from 1 species
CUAAAGCAGAGUCAAAUUUUUUGACUUUACCAUCUUUAUGGUCCUUCAAGUAGAUACGGCAACUUCGCAACCAAUGUCCAAUCUCUUGGCAAUAGAAACAAAUGGAUUCUUUGGGAAUGGUACACGGGACAAUCUCAGACUUAGUCUUUCUCUUUCCNAAUGGACUCUUUGGAAAUGGUACACGAGACAAUCUCAGACUUAGCCUUUCCCUUUCCCUUGGAAAUAGAAAUCUUUUCUGGACUUCCAAUGUUUCCAUUGUCAAUGUCCAUGGAAGUUUGGGAAGUAUAUCUUCUAAUCAAAUUUGCAUUACCAAUGCGCCAAAUCGUUGCUGAUUCAACAGAAAUUAGCAAAUAUGCAAGAUUGAUAAGGGACAUGUCACGGUUUGUCAUAUAGUAGUCUUUAACAAACUGACUAUACGACUUGGGAAGUGACUGAAGAACCAAGUCAACAACCAGCUUCCUCGACACAAUGACUCC